rnacentral:rRNA from 1 species
UCCUGCCGGAGGCCAUUGCUAUCGGAGUCCGAUUUAGCCAUGCUAGUUGCGCGGGUUCAGCCCCGCAGCGAAAAGCUCAGUAACACGUGGCCAAGCUACUCUGUGGACGGGAAUAAUCUCGGGAAACUGAGGCUAAUCCCCGAUAACGCUUCACCCCUGGAAGGGAUGAAGCCAGAAACGCUCCGGCGCCACAGGAUGCGGCUGCGGUCGAUUAGGUAGACGGUGGGGUAACGGCCCACCGUGCCCAUAAUCGGUACGGGUUGUGAGAGCAAGAGCCCGGAGACGGAAUCUGAGACAAGAUUCCGGGCCCUACGGGGCGCAGCAGGCGCGAAACCUUUACACUGCACGAAAGUGCGAUAGGGGAAUCCCAAGUGCGAGGGCAUAUUAGCCCUCGCUUUUGUUGACUCUAAGGCGGUCAACGAAUAAGAGCUGGGCAAGACCGGUGCCAGCCGCCGCGGUAAUACCGGCAGCUCAAGUGAUGUCCCAUAUUAUUGGGCCUAAAGCGUCCGUAGCUGGCCGACCAAGUCUAUCGGGAAAUCCACCUGCCCAACAGGUGGGCGUCCGGUAGAAACUGGCCGGCUUGGAACCGGAAGGCUCAGAGAGUACGUCCGGGGUAGGAGUGAAAUCCCGUAAUCCCGCACGGACCACCGAUGGCGAAAGCACUUCGAGAAAACGGAUCCGACAGUGAGGGACGAAAGCCAGGGUCUCCAACCGGAUUAGAUACCCGGGUAGUCCUGGCCGUAAACAAUGUUCGCUAGGUAUGACACAGACUACGUGUCUCUGUUGUGCCGUAGGGAAGCCGAGAAGCGAACCGCCUGGGAAGUACGUCUGCAAGGAUGAAACUUAAAGGAAUUGGCGGGGGAGCACUACAACCGGAGGAGCCUGCGGUUUAAUUGGACUCAACGCCGGACAUCUCACCAGCUCCGACUACAGUGAUGACGACCAGGUUGAUGACCUCAUCACGACGCUGUAGAGAGGAGGUGCAUGGCCGCCGUCAGCUCGUACCGUGAGGCGUCCUGUUAAGUCAGGCAACGAGCGAGACCCGCACCCCUAAUUGCCAGCAACAGUUUCGACUGGUUGGGUACAUUAGGAAGACUGCCAGUGCUAAACUGGAGGAAGGAAUGGGCAACGGUAGGUCAGUAUGCCCCGAAUGGGCUGGGCAACACGCGGGCUACAAUGGUCAGGACAACGGGUUCCAACACUGAAAAGUGACGGUAAUCUCGCAAACCUGGUCGUAGUUCGGAUUGCGGGCUGAAACUCGCCCGCAUGAAGCUGGAUUCGGUAGUAAUCGCGUGUCAGCAGCGCGCGGUGAAUACGUCCCUGCUCCUUGUACACACCGCCCGUCA